GGGAGGAGGUGAAAAUAUCAACAUUAACAGGAGUUUGAAGAAAGUUUAUUCCAACCCUCAUGGAUAACUGAGAAAUUGAAGACUUCAGUGGAGGAAGCAACUGCAUAUGUGGUAGACAUACCAGAACAACUGGAAUUAAAAGUGGACUCUGAAGAUGUGACUGAAUUGCUGCAAUUUCAUGAUAAAAAUUUAAUGGAUGAGGAGUUGCUUCUUGUGGAUGAGUAAAAAAUGUGAAGUGUUUUUUUUUUUGAGAAGAAAUUUAUUCCUGGUGAAGAUGUUGUGAAUAUUGUGGAAAUGAUAACAAAGCCUUUCAAAUAUUAGAUAAACUUAGUAGAUAAAGCAACAGCAGGGUUUGAGAAAAUUGACUCUAAUUUUGAAGGUUUUUGAGUAAAAUGCUAUCAAAAAGCACUGCAUGCUACAGAGAAAUCUCUCACGAAAGGAAGAAUUCAUUCAUGUGGCAAACUGUAUUGUUGUCUUAUUUUAAGAAUUUGCCACUGCCACCCUAACUUUUUGCAACCACUAGUCUGAUCAGUCAGCCGCCAUCCACAUAAAGGUCAGUGAGAGAGCAUAUGCCCUGGUAGCUGCCUGAGAAAAGGAACAGGAGCAUGAGAGUUUCAGUGUUUUACACAUUGCUGGUCUGAUAUCUCAGCUUCAUUCACAGAGACCGGGCUGCAGUGUGUCCUGGGCUUUGGAAUUAUUGUAAGAUUCUCAAGUGAUUUUACUGUGCAAGCAGCUUUGGCAACCAUUGUCUAAAAAGGUAUGUAGAAUUAGAAGAGAAAACGGGUGAGGAGAGAACCAUGGUAAAAGUGUUGGCUGAACAAGAGGAGCCUGCCAAGGAGAGUAAGAGGAAACUUUAUGGUGGAAGAGAUCUGGGGAAGUAUAGUUUCCUGGAAAGAGGAGAAGAGGGAUGCAGAAUG